rnacentral:rRNA from 1 species
GAUGAACGCUGGCGGCGUGCCUAAUACAUGCAAGUCGAGCGAACAGAUGAGGAGCUUGCUCCUCUGACGUUAGCGGCGGACGGGUGAGUAACACGUGUAUAACCUACCUAUAAGACUGGGAUAACUACGGGAAACCGGAGCUAAUACCGGAUAAUAUACUGAACCGCAUGGGUCAAUAGUGAAAGACGGUUUUGCUGUCUCUUCUAGAGGGAUCCGCGCCGCAUUAGCUAGUUGGUAAGGUAACGGCUUACCAGGGCAACGAUGCGUGGCCGACCGGGGUGGGUGAUCGGCCACACUGGAGCUUGGACGCGGUCCAGAGUCCUACGGGACGCAGCAGUAGGGUAUGGUCCGCAGUGGGCGGAAGCAUGACGGAGCAGCGCGGCGUGUGUGGUGAAGGUCUUCGGAUCGUGAAGCUGUGUUAUUAGGGGAGAACAGAUGUGUAAGUAGCUGUGCACGUCUUGACGGUACCUGAUCAGAAAGCCACGGCUAACUACGUG